rnacentral:lncRNA from 12 species
GCAGGCAUCCAGUGCUCACCCCCAUGAUCCUCCCUCCUCGCUUCCAAGUCCCCACAUCCUCAUCCCCCACCUGUCCCCAAUACUGACCUGCACUCCCUGCCCUGAGAACAUAGGGACCAAGAGAAAGGAGCUCCCGUCCCCCUGGGACCCCACCUCCAGUCUGUCGGCCAAAGUUCUGCAUUCCCAGGAGUGAGGUGCCUGGAUCCCCAGAUCCACCCAGGCUCAUGUCUCCUUGAGUCACUCCCCCUCCAGCACUCUGGGGAUUGUUCUCCUGCAACUGCUAGCUCUCUGACAGCCCCCCAACAUGCUCUGGCGUCCCCCCUAGGCAGACCUGCCCUUAGCCUGUGCCUCUGCCCGGCUGCCCCUCCUUUCCCAGCAGAGCUUCUCAGAGAGGCAAAGUGCCAGGCACCAGUGGUGCUUCUUCAUCCCACCUUCUCCAGUGACCUCCCGAGUGCACAUCUGUCCUUCCCUCCCUCCCUCCGGGCUCCAGCCAUACCAGCUAGCAAGCUCUUAUACACACACACACACACACACACACACACACACACACACAGACACACACACCAGGCUUGCAUCCAUCCCAGGGACUUGGAUCCCGCUGGGUGGUACCUCCUGGGAGAAGCAUGUUCUCUCCUACCCCUCACCACUUCUGCUGUCCUGCCUGACAGACCCUGGUUUCUGGCUGCCCACCCCCAACCUUGGAGGCCUGCAGAGGAAAGACUUCGCUGCCACCUUCACCACAGCAUUCCCAGCUCCCCAGACAGCACCUGGCACGUAGUAGAUGCCCUGGAGACACUGGGUGGAAGGGCUAUUUGGUUAAUCAGGAGCAGAUACUUAUGUCCCAGACCAAGCAAAGCAUCAAAGCAGCUCCAGGGGAACUGGGCCCUUUGGCCAUUUACAGGCUGAGCUGCCCCAUUUCUGUGCAGACGCCUGGGUUCAUGGGGCCUCUCUGCUCCCCAGGGCAGCAGGUGCCCACGAGUGGAACCCCGGAACAUCAGGAGAGAGGAGCCUUAGAUCUUUGAGCUUCGAGCUCUGGUAGCUCAGAAGGGGAGGUGAGUGUGAGAGCCAUAGAUUUGUCCAGGCUCAGCAAACCCCGCAGAUGAGCCUGACCUGCAGCUCCAGGUCCGGGGGCAUGCCCGCCUCUCCCUGCUCACGCUUGUGUGUCCAC